UACGUAGGUGGCAAGCGUUGUCCGGAAUUAUUGGGCGUAAAGCGCGCGCAGGCGGUCCUUUAAGUCUGAUGUGAAAGCCCACGGCUCAACCGUGGAGGGUCAUUGGAAACUGGGGGACUUGAGUGCAGGAGAGAAGAGUGGAAUUCCACGUGUAGCGGUGAAAUGCGUAGAGAUGUGGAGGAACACCAGUGGCGAAGGCGGCCCCCUGGGCUGUACCUGACGCUGAGACGCGAAGGCGUGGGGAGCGAACGGG
rnacentral:rRNA from 1 species